AAAAAUUUAGUUAAUCUAUAACGUUAGCUUGUCACGCUAAAAUUGUUUUUAAAAACAAUUUUUA
rnacentral:tRNA from 1 species